rnacentral:rRNA from 1 species
AGCGAACGCUGGCGGCAGGCUUAACACAUGCAAGUCGAGCGGGCAUAGCAAUAUGUCAGCGGCAGACGGGGAGUUACGCGUGGGAACGGACCUUUUGGGUCGGAACAACACAGGGAAACUUGUGCUAAUAACGGAUAAGCCCUUACGGGGGAAGAUUUAUCGCCGAAAGAUUGGCCCGCGUUCGAAUAGCUAGUUGGUGAGGUAAUGGCCCACCAAGGCGAAGAUCAGUAGCUGGUCUGAGAGGAUGAUCAGCCACAAUGGGACUGAGACACGGCCCAAACUCCUACGGGAGGCAGCAGUGGGGAAUAUUGGACAAUGGGCGCAAGCCUGAUCCAGCCAUGCCGCGUGAGUGAUGAAGGCCCUAGGGUUGUAAAGCUCUUUUGUGCGGGAAGAUAAUGACGGUACCGCAAGAAUAAGCCCCGGCUAACUUCGUGCCAGCCGCCGCCGUAA